AAAAAGAAGAAAGAAAAGACACCCCCUAGCUGUGUUUUCUAUGCAUGCUGCUAGGAUGCUGCUGCACAACUAGGGCUGUAGCCACCUUGUCAUGACCCACACCGCCUGGCCUCCUCCCCUAUCUCAACAUCUCUGUGAGGAUUUUUAACGACCUAUUUUCAUUUGCUGCCACCGCAAUGGCCGCCGCAACUGGCUCUCGAGCCUCGUCACCUUGCUGCCGGAUUUGCGGCACCCUCCCAGCCUCUGCUCUUCCUUCUCUUCCUCUUUCCCUCCAUCUUCAUCUUCUUCUUUUAAUUUCCUUUAUUUUCUUCCCGUUUUUUAUUUUUUAAUAAUCCUCUCUUUCUUCCUCUAUUGGUUAUUUCCUCUCCUUUGACUCAUGGACCCGAUACAGUGAUUUAUCCAUGUCACCGAUGAAUCAAAUCCAGACCUCGAUUGAGUCUCUCCUUCUUUUUUUGAUCUUUGUUGAUUGAUCCGCAUCAAAUCAAAAUAACUCACAUAUACCAAGAAGUGAAUGAGCCAUCUAACCGGAUUGCAUCAUAUGUAGAAUACCACACUCAUAUUAUACCUGUGGUCCAGCGUGAAUGAUUGCCCUGGAAACUGAGAGGUAUAUUGUAUUCUGAUUCUAUUGGUUGUAUUUAUAUUUAAUUAAGGUGUAGGUGCAUCAGUUUCACCCAAAAAAAAUUACAAAAGACAGAAAAUAAAGUGAAAUAGAACACAGUGCUCGCUGAGAUGAGCAAUGGAACAACUAAAGAAGUCAAAUACCAAGAUAUGGAUGCUCGGUUAAAUUAAUAAAUUCAAGGCAAAUCUACUAAUUUGAGUAUACGUUUCUUGUGAUUCAUGUAGUUAAGUCUUUAUACACGUAACGAAACAAGACAGUAACGCUUUUUGCCUUUUUUUUUUUUUGCUUCCUUAUCUCAACUAGUUCAUUUCUCCUCCUUCGGUGCAGUAGAAUUCUUACAGUGCGCUAUGGCUGCCUGGAUCGCACUCUGGAAUUCUUCCAUCGUGCUCACGUCCGAGUAGGCCGAGAGGAGGCCGCUGUUCGUCGG
rnacentral:lncRNA from 1 species